rnacentral:rRNA from 1 species
GAUGAACGCUGACAGAAUGCUUAACACAUGCAAGUCAACUGUGGCGGACGGGUGAGUAACGCGUAAAGAACUUGCCUCACGGAUAGGGACAACAUUUGGAAACGAAUGCUAAUACCUGAAACUGUGAGAGAGCUUUGCGUCCCAUUAGCUAGUUGGAGAGGUAACGGCUCACCAAGGCGAUGAUGGGUAGCCGGCCUGAGAGGGUGAUCGGCCACAAGGGGACAGGGACACGGCCCUUACGCCAUCGUGCGGCAGCAGGGGGGAAUAUUGGACGAUGGACCGAAGUCUGAUCAAGCAAUUCGGUGUGCACAAUGAAGUUGUCGGAAUGUAGAGAGCUUUCUGUAUAUAAUCGGUACCAGCAGAAGAAGUGACGGCUAAAUACGUGCCAGCAGCCGCGGUAAUAC